rnacentral:rRNA from 1 species
GACGAACGCUGGCGGCGUGCUUAACACAUGCAAGUCGAACGGAAAGGCCCUGCUUUUGUGGGGUGCUCGAGUGGCGAACGGGUGAGUAACACGUGAGUAACCUGCCCUUGACUUUGGGAUAACUUCAGGAAACUGGGGCUAAUACCGGAUAGGAGCUCCUGCUGCAUGGUGGGGGUUGGAAAGUUUCGGCGGUUGGGGAUGGACUCGCGGCUUAUCAGCUUGUUGGUGGGGUAGUGGCUUACCAAGGCUUUGACGGGUAGCCGGCCUGAGAGGGUGACCGGCCACAUUGGGACUGAGAUGCGGCCCAGACUCCUACGGGAGGCAGCAGUGGGGAAUAUUGCACAAUGGGCGGAAGCCUGAUGCAGCAACGCCGCGUGCGAGAUGACGGCCUUCGGGUUGUAAACCGCUUUCGCCUGUGACGAAGCGUGAGUGACGGUAAUGGGUAAAGAAGCACCGGCUAACUACGU